rnacentral:rRNA from 1 species
UACGGGAGGCAGCAGUGGGGAAUAUUGCACAAUGGGCGAAAGCCUGAUGCAGCUAUGCCGCGUGUAUGAAGAAGGCCUUAGGGUUGUAAAGUACUUUCAUCGGGGAGGAAAAAACAAAACUAAUAAUUUUAUUUCUUGACGUUACCCGAAAAAGAAGCACCGGCUAACUCCGUGCCAGCAGCCGCGGUAAUACGGAGGGUGCUAGCGUUAAUCAGAAUUACUGGGCGUAAAGAGCACGUAGGUGGUUUUUUUAAAGUCAGAUGUGAAAUCCCUGGGCUUAACCUAGGAACUGCAUUUUGAAACUGAAAUACUAGAGUAUCGUAGAGGGAGGUAGAAUUCUAGGUGUAGCGGUGAAAUGCGUAGAUAUCUGGAGGAAUACCUGUGGCGAAAGCGGCCUCCUAAACGAAUACUGACACUGAGUGCGAAAGCGUGGGGAGCAAACAGGGAUUAGAUACCCGU